rnacentral:lncRNA from 1 species
GGACAAUAGAGAGACACAUCACACAAUGAGGACCGUGAGAUGAGAUCUCACGGCCAAGAUCGAUCCAUCAUCCAUACAUAGGUAACACAAAAGGGUAACCUAAAGACAACUAAGGUAUGAGCUCUCACUCUCUACACUUCUUCUCUCUCUUCCUCUCUCUCUUUACUUUCUUCUCCAUUACCCACAAUGGCUAACUGGAUCGUCGGAGGGUUGACGCCGGAGACAUCUCCGGCGCCCUUUGCAGGUCAUCUAUGGAGAGGGAGCAAGAGGACCAUCUCAACAACACUAAUCUCUACAUGUAACCGGAAUCAAGGCUUACAUAAUGGCGCUAGAAGGUGUAAUGAACCACCACUAAUUUCAACCAUAUUUCCAUAUCUACAACAUCUUCUUCCUUUCACAAGAUCACAUCUUGGUUUCUUUUCUUUCUCAAAUCAAUCUCUUUUUAAUUGGAGAAAAUUUCAACAGUUACACUAGCACAUUCAAUUAGUCAAGUUUGCAAACAACCUCUCAAGCUCAGCCGGGUCAGACACGCAUCACCAUUUCAAUCAUUUUUCGUUCACUCCAUUGAUUCACAUCUGUGACCACCACGGCCCGCUCGGUUCGCUCUACACAUUCACCCAAACAAGAUUUCAUUUUUCAAAGAGUUCCGUUAACUCCGUGUCCAUCAUGGCUUGCACACCAACUGUUCGACGAAAGUCCACCAAAAUAUCUCAAGUGUCUUUAAUUUUUCAAGUUCGCAAACAGCCUCUCUAGCUCAGCUGGGUUACAAAUUUCAGUCAUUUUAACUCCAUGAUCAUGACGACACUCUCGGUUUGCUCAUAUAACUAUAUUGGUA